CUGCUGCCUUCCGUAGGAGUCUGGUCCGUGUCUCAGUACCAGUGUGGGGGACCUUCCUCUCAGAACCCCUACGCAUCGUCGCCUUGGUGGGCCGUUACCCCGCCAACUAGCUAAUGCGCCGCAUGCCCAUCCGUCUCCGAUAUUCUUUCAAAACCAGACGAUGCCGUCCAGCUUCAUACGGGGUAUUAGACGCCGUUGCCGACGAUUAUCCCCCUGAGACGGGCAGGUUGCAUACGUGUUACUCACCCGUGCGCCGGUCG
rnacentral:rRNA from 1 species